rnacentral:lncRNA from 1 species
AUCGGAUUCUCCCGGAGAACUCUUUCUCUCUCAACCCGAAUGACCCUGGCCAGGGAUUUGUCUGAGCAAGAACACAUAGGAUAUUCCUCUCAUGACGCCGAGAGUGGAUGAUCCUCUAUUGACACUCAAUAGCCCUCGUAAGGUCGACUACCACUCCCAAUGACCAGCUGUACUAGAUCUGGGGACAGCCAAACCUAUAAGUCUGGUAUCAAAGAGUGGAGCACUCAUACAGGACAUCCUUGGUGUCUCAAGUCUAAGGACCAGAUACACCACUAGGACUACGGAAUCGCUGUCUGACAAUAAGGCAUCAUCAACCAUCCAGCAUUCCGUAAGCGGAUCAAUCAGUGAACUCAUUCUCCAAUGAGCACCUGUACUGUAUCCCUAGUGUCCCUACACGAGCAGCUAUGAGACCAGCUGCAUCCAUUAUAUGGACGGGUAUACAGCACACCAGUCUAUCCGGUUAU